GUAAAAAUCAAAAGCUCUGGUACGCUGUCUGUACAAUUGGUGGGAAGUGGUUAGAAGAACGAUGCUAUGAUUUGUUUCGAAACCACCGUUUAGCAUCAUUUGGGAAAGCCAAGCAGUGUGUGCAUUUUGUGAUUGGACUUUUAAAAUUAGCAAUGCAGGUUGUAGUGGGCUGUGGAAAAAUGAGGAAAUGUCCACUUUUCUAUCAACAUUGCAACUACUGGGAGUAUCCUUGUGAAAAUUCUACCAUCAAUACUUGACUCUGGUUACCCACACAUUUCCUUUAAUGAGUUACAUGAGGACGGCCCAUGGACUUGUCUCAGCAGGACCAUUCUUAUGCAGACAAUUUCUUCCAGAGACCUUUGUACAACUGGCUUGUCCAUACCCUCUACAUUACAUUGAUUUGAAUAAAAAUCAGUAAUGUAUAAGAAGAAAAAAAAAGGUUACUAAGAUGGAACUACCAUACUGCCAUUUAGAGUAUUGGCCUUAACAGCAAUGACACUGGUUAAAAUAUUCUGUUUGAGUAAUUGUGCUAUAAACUGAGAAAUAGGGGAGACACCGUAUAUUCUUGAGACAUUUGGAUACUUAUGAGGAAAAAUCUAUGUCAAAAAUUUCUUUUGACCCAAAAAUGGAGAAAAUGAUUCAGGAAGAGGAGGGGUUAUUAGCUUUUUCUCAGAACUCAGCCUAGUCCAUGGAGAUCCUCAGUAAUUACUAGUUGAAUGAAUAGAAGAAUGAAUAUUAAGAGACAGGUAUAACUCAUUUUAACCUAAAUAUUGUCAAACUUAUUUUCUGCUGGUGUUGUUUUUAAUAAUCACACCAAAUAUUGUUGGGACUACAGAAAAACAAGCAUUUUCUUAUAUUACUAUACAAGUGUAAAUGUACUAUAGAAAUAUAAAUAUAACCAAUCUGUUUUGAAGAAUAGAUUGGUUAUAUUUAUCAGAAGCCUUAAAAUAUGCCUCUUUUUCCAUAACAAAUUAAAAUUCUGUUGUACAGAGAGAUUGAUUUUCCAGGAUGCUCAUCCCUAUUUAAAAAUGGUAAGAAUUGACAAUAACCAAAAAUCUCCCAACAGGAAGAUGAUUAAUCAGCUGUAAGAGAAUAUUUAAUAAAUGAUAAGAUUUUCAUUUAAUAUUCUAGGGAAAAAAUUAUAAAUAGUAUAAGAGGACUACACAAUAUUACUAUAUUUUCCUGAAAACAAAAUAUAGCCACAAAUAAAGACUAGAAGAAUUUGUAGCAAAAUGUUUGUAAUAGUCAUCUCUGGGAAAUCAGGUGAUUUUUAUUUCCUUCUAUGUGAUUUUGUGUAUUUUCCAAAUAUUCACUGAAAAAAAUAUAUAUUUCCUUUACUUAAAUAAAACACAACUUUGUAAACAUGUAAAGGCAAGCAACAAAAUAAAAAUAUUUUCAAAUUAUAUAAAAGAUAAAGUGUUAAUGUCCUAAUUCCCAUCCUUACCCACCCAAAAAAUGAGUAAAAAAAUAUAAAGACAAUUUUCUCAAAAGGAGAUGAUAAUGGCAUAUAAACUUAAAAAAUAUGUUCCACUUGACUGUAAUCAAAGAAGUGCUAAUUAGAAUAACAAUGCGCUAUAUGAAUGUAAAUAUAAAUUAGUGAUAAAGGCCCAGUAAUGACAUAUUUGAGGAAAGCCAUUUGCCAGUAUGAACAAAGAACCUUAAAUAACACACAACUUUUGACCCAAUAAUUCCACUUCUCAGAAUCUAUUUUGGGAAAGCAGUCCAAAAUAGUGACAGCUCUGUAUAUACAAAUAUGUACAUCACAAGGUUAUGUGUACUUCUAGAAUCACAUAUGUGUAUGUUAGAGGAAUUUUGAAUCAACUUGCACUGGGGCCAUGACAGGGAUGGUGGAGAGGAUUGCAUGGCAUCCUGUCAUCUGUCUUGCCCACCAUCGUGCAAUAAGUAUAACCUUGUGUCAGGGUUCCAGAGAAACAGAGCCAAUAGGGUAUGCAGAUACAGAGAAAGAGACUUAUUCUAAGGAAUUGGCUUAUACUAGAGGCUGGAAAACUCUGCAUAGUAGAGCAACAGGCUAGAGUCACAGGAAAGCUGAUGCUGCACUUUUGGUCUGAUGACCAGUGAGCUGGAGAAUUUUGCUCAUGACAGACUGGUGUUUUUGGUCUAUGCAGGUCUUUAACUGAUUAGAUGAGACCCACCUGCAUUAUGAAGGCCAAUCUGCUAUAUUCAAAGUCUCCCAGUUUAAAUGUUAACCUCAUCCUGGUGCUCUGGCAUCCUGACAGAAACACCAGGAUAAUGUUUGACCAAAUAUCUGGGCACCCCACAGUGCCAGCCAAGUUGACACAUAAAAUUAACCAACACACUCUGUGAUAGAGGAAUUGCCAGCAGAGAUCAACAGAAAUGUUCUCAGGAAGAUCCCUGUAAGACAAAGGCAUACACAAUACUGCUCUGGAGCCUGAAGGACAAAAUCUGGCCAAAGUGGAGAGAGAGGGUUUCUUCUCAUCUUUAAGGAAAACAGCAAUGGUCUGAUUCAAUGAGUACUUGGAGUCAACACCUUUCUGAUUCAGCAAGCAUUUGCAGAUCUAGGAACUGGCAGACAAGGCUCCAUCUUCAAGUGGUAGUUUGUCACACAGUAACAGCUGCUGCUGUUCCCGUCCUACGAGGCUGUCACAUGGUGGGCAUUCUAUGAACAAAUAUUGAAGAAUGAAUUUCUGUGAAUUCAAUAAGAAUCCAUUUUUUGAAAUGAUAAGGAGGAUUCAGGCCUCAAAGAGGAAGAACAGCCUGGCGGGUAAUUGCUCCUGGUAAUGUGCCACAGCCAGAUUGCUCCAGGAAGCCACAGCUAUGAAGUGAAAGGUAGCAAAAUCAGAUGCAAAAGGAGAUACCAGUUUGAAAUCUCUAAAACUGAGUGACACAAGGAAUACUUCACAAAAUAUUCUGCUGAUGCCAAAGAUUAAGAGUAACGUUAUGUAUCAUUUUUGAGAUUUGGAGGGAACGCGAUGAAAUACUGAAGAUCUGAAAGGACCAGCCAGGGGAUGGACUCAAGGCGUAGCAGCACAAGAGUAAGGCCAGGACUCCUCAUAUUUAUUGAGCAAAUGAACUUAAACAUCAAAAGAAUUCUGAGUAUGGGGUUCAACACAUUAUCAACACACAAUCAUUAUCUGACCUUGAGUCUAGCCCUAGGGCAUGACGCUUCUCAAGGACACCGAAACCAUGUGAGGGUGGUCAUGAGUUGUAGGAACUGUUUUGGCUCUAAUCAUUCUGUUGUAGGAAAAAUAAUAAAGCCAUAUGUAUUUGUACAUUUGAUUUCUAUUCUACUUGAUUUGUGUAUUAAUACCACAAUAAUGACAUAAAAUUUAGUUCUAAAAAUAAUUUGGUAUUCCUCCUCAAUAAAGAAAGCCCCUAUUCAGAGAAGUUGGAAAAAGAGAAGAAUCUCCUCUUGGGCAGUCUACAUUUCUCUUCCCUUUUUACCUUCAAAUUUGGCUGAAACUUUUCUAUGUGUCCCACA